rnacentral:rRNA from 1 species
CCUACGGGCGGCAGCAGUGAGGAAUAUUGGUCAAUGGACUUGCGUCUGAACCAGCCAAGUAGCGUGAAGGAUGACUGCCCUAUGGGUUGUAAACUUCUUUUAUAUGGGAAUAACAUGUUCCACGUGUGGGCUUUUGUAUGUACCAUAUGAAUAAGGAUCGGCUAACUCCGUGCCAGCAGCCGCGGUAAUACGGAGGAUCCGAGCGUUAUCCGGAUUUAUUGGGGUUAAAGGGAGCGUAGGUGGAUUGUUAAGUUAGUUGUGAAAGUUUGCGGGUCAACCGUAAAAUUGCAGUUGAAACUGGCAGUCUUGAGUACGGGAGAGGUGGGCGGAAUGCGUGGUGUAGCGGUGAAAUGCUUAGAUAUCGCGAAGAACUCCGAUUGCGAAGGCAGCUCACUGGACUGCAACUGACACUGAGGCUCGAAAGUGUGGGUAUCAAACAGGAUUAGAUACCCGUGUAGUC